rnacentral:rRNA from 1 species
UACAGAGACUGCAAGCGUUAUUCGGAUUCACUGGGCGUAAAGGGUGCGCAGGCGGCCAAGUGUGUGAGGCGUGAAAGCCCGGGGCUUAACCCCGGAAUUGCACCUCAAACUACAUGGCUAGAGCAUUGGAGAGGGUAGCAGAAUUCAUGGUGUAGCAGUGAAAUGCGUAGAUAUCAGGAAGAACACCCGUGGCGAAGGCGGCUCUCUGGGACGGUACUGACGCUGAGACGCGAAAGCGUGGGGAGCGAACAGG